CAGGCGGGACUACCCGCUGAACUUAAGCAUAUCAAUAAGCGGAGGA
rnacentral:rRNA from 1 species